GAGAGAGGCUCGACAGCAACGAAGACUGCUAAUUUUCCCUUCCUCGGUUAGACCCCGAGGCUCACUUG
rnacentral:tRNA from 1 species